rnacentral:rRNA from 1 species
AUUGAACGCUGGCGGCAGGCCUAACACAUGCAAGUCGAGCGCGAAAGUUCUUCGGAAUGAGUAAAGCGGCGGACGGGUGAGUAAUACAUGGGAAUCUGCCUGGUAGUGGGGGACAACGUUUCGAAAGGAACGCUAAUACCGCAUACGCCCGUACGGGGGGAAAGGGGGGGAUCGCAAGACCUCUCGCUAUCAGAUGACGC